AUACUUACCUGGGUCGUGUAUCUGGUAUCAAGAAUCCCAGAUAUACAGCGAAGGCGGUUGUCAUUGCACAGCGACGGCUGCUUUUGCUGCGAACAUCCUUCGGGAUGUCUCGAGAUCAUAAUUUUUGCUUGGGGGGAAAUCGUGGUUCGCCGCGGGUUCCCCU
rfam:Choanephora cucurbitarum strain KTS-F28377 scaffold_181, whole genome shotgun sequence.